UUCAGAUUUCAGCCCUUUUGCUUGAUUGUAGAAUAAUGCAUAAUAUAAAUGUUAGAAUAAGGAUUAGUGUGCCACAGGGGCACAUUGGGGGUUUCCCCUCCCCCAUCCGGCUGGAUGGGGGGUAUAUAAUUGUAAAUGUUUUAUUUUUUCUGUUUUGUACUCCUAUUAUGACUCUAUCAAGAUAGUCAUGACUCCUAUCAUGACUAUCAUGAUUUUAUAUUAUAUAUAGGGGACUUGUGUGAUCAGUUAAAGACACACAAGCAUUCUCCCAUUAUUUUUGUUAACAUGGUACCAGAGCCUAAUUUCUGAUCUAGGUUUUCAGUUUCUUAACAAACCUUCACCUUCUCUCCUCAAAAUUGGCUGAAUUUUUGAGAUCAUCAUCACCAUUACAGAGGAGAUCGACCAGACUUGUGGCCCCAUCUGCCAAGUCUCUGUAUCAAAUCUCCCAUCUUCUGUGAUAAUUAGGGUUUUCUCCUUAAACCCUAAUUUGCUUAUCUUAACAAUUCUUCAUCAAGCCUGAUAUUAUUUGGAGUAUCUCAUUACCCUUACUGGGCAAUUCGAUCCAAGUAUAGAAACUUUUUGACGGUUGAUUUUGAAGAUCUGGUAUUCCCCUUUUUCAUUGUCGAUUUUUUACUAGUUCAAUCAUGUCUAGAGUAACUACUGUGACCUCUGGGUCUGAUGGACAAAGUCGCAAUGACUACAUGCCUUUUGGGACUAGUUCUGUGAAAUUGGACAGAACUAAUUACCUCGUCUGGUCUAGAUCUACAUGCCUUACCAUUGCUGGUAGAGGUCUCACUGGACACAUUUUAGGGAAAUUGAAAAACCCUCUGAUGAGGGUAACCCUCAGGAUAAAUGGGUCACUAAUGACUCCUUAGUAAUGUCUUACUCGAUUGGUUCUAUUUAUCAAUCUAUUUCUCGAGGAUUUUUGCUAUUAGAUAAUGCUUCUUAGAUUUGGGCUGCUGCCAAAGAAACUUAUGGGCAACUAGGGAAUGAUGCUUAGGUAUUUGAACUUCGCAAGAAGGUUUGUACCACUACCCAAUAGGAAUUCUCUGUGUCCAAAUAUUAUGCAAAAUUUUGAAUUCUAUGGUAUGAACUGGACCAUUAUGCAGAUUAUCAUCCAAAAAAUGCUGAAGACAGUAUUGCUUACACCGAACAUGUGGACAAAAUUAGGGUGUAUGAUUUCUUAGCAGGCUUAAAUGUCAUCUAUGAUCAGAUUCGUGUUCAGAUACUUAGCAAAUCUCCCUUCCCUACUUUGGAACAAUCCUUUGCUAUGGUUUAUACUAAAGAAUGUCGCCGUAUCUCGAUGCUACAUACUCCUACUACUGAAAAUUCAGCUCUACAAACUCGAUCCGCUAUUACCUCUAAAGGAGCAAAUCGAAUUGGUGAUUAUGCGAAGGAGAUUUUUAAAUGUGAACACUACCAAAAAUCAUACCAUACUAAGGCCAACUGUUGGAAGCUCUAUGGAAAACCUACUGAUUUUGAGGCAAAGCGUACUCGAGGUCGAUCUAAAAGUAAAGCCCAUCAGGCUGAGACUUCGGACACUCUUUGCAAUUGAUAUUGGACCCUCCCAAGAGGAACUCCAGCUUCCAAUUCUUCAACUCCUGCCAAUUCAGUCCCUUUAGGUUCUAAUUUUGCUCACUCAUGUAUUUUUUUUGUUUAUUGUGCAUCAGUCGUCUCCACUCCCUGGAUCAUUGACUUCGGUGCCACUGAUCACAUUACCAAUUCCACCAGUUUAUUUCACCAAGAUUCACCUACCUCAGGCAGAGAUAAAGUUAGGGUAGCAGAUGGCACCCUAUCAUCUGUCUUUACAAAGGGCUUACGAAGGACCUAAACUGUGAAGUAACCUUUUUUCCUUUCCAUUGCAUUUUCCAAGAUUUGGAAACGGGGAAGACGAUUGGAUGUGGUAAGGUGCGUGGUGGUCUUUAUUUGCUUGAUAAUGGUUGUCUCCCUACUGCUGCAGCAUCAACAACACCUCAUUAGCUACCCUAUGCUUCUUCUGAAUUGACUCAAUGGCAUUGUCGUUUGAGACACCCACCAAUUGGGGCCUUAUCUCUUUUAUUUCCACAUUUAGUUUAAUUAUGUACUAGGGAUAAACUCUUUUGUGAGGCUUGUAAUCUGGCUAAACAGACUUGUUCCAGUUAUUUACCUUUAAAUAAAAGCUCUUCUAUUUUUCAUUUGGUUCA